UAUAGUUCAUUACAAAAAUACCAAAGCAAAAAAGGAUAGAAAGAGAGAGAAGAAAAAAGAAUCUGUUCCCAAAAGAUGGCAAUUAGGGUUUCCUUCAAAUCCAUUUUUGUGGUUCUUCUUCUUCUAGUACUCCUCAUAUAUUCUCCUGCUAAAGCACGAAACUUGCGAGAAACGUUCAAAAACGGGAAACGAGAGGCAGCGAGGGAAAAGGGCGGAGAAAAUCGAUCAUUCGGAGGAAGCGUGGAGAGCGAUGGAUUGGUGGAUAUGGACUACACUGCGGCUAACAAGAAAACUCCUAUCCAUAAUCUAAGAUAAAAAAAAAAAUCAUUUCUUUUUUUGUCAACGUUUGUUACUCGAGAGAGUCCAAAAAAGGGGAGAGCCAAAUGUAUUAAUCCAACAAAGCUUUGUGUAAACAGUUUUUUUUGUACACUGAUAUAGAUGGAAGAGCAUGUAGCUAUACAUAUAUAUAUACACACACAUACGAUA